UACGUAGGGGCCUAGCGUUGUCCGGAUUUAUUGGGCGUAAAGAGCUCGUAGGCGGUUCGGCAAGUCGGAUGUGAAAUCUCCACGCUUAACGUGGAGGGGCCAUUCGAAACUGCCGUGACUUGAGUCCGGUAGGGGAGUGUGGAAUUCCCGGUGUAGCGGUGAAAUGCGCAGAUAUCAGGAGGAACACCGGUGGCGAAGGCGGAUCUCUGGGCCUUACCUGACGCUCAGGUGCGAAAGCGUGGAAAGCAAACAGG
rnacentral:rRNA from 1 species